UCCGUAAUUAGUAAAGGUGAUGGCAGCUGUACCAUUCUCCUGGUCAAUCUCUUCAAUUUCCGCUUCAUACAAUCUGCAAGGAAGUUAGGGCUGUAAGCAUAUUAAAGUCAAGAAUCUUGAUCUGUACACCAAUAACACUGACUCCUGCCUUUAUGACUGCUCACUGGAAUGGCGGGGCAAAGGAAAGCAACGUUUGAGCACAAAAGUCUGUUUCCAAAUCAAUACAUAGCUAGUUAAGCUGCUAUAAGCAAGAAUUACAUUGCCUAUUGCUGUGACGUAUGAUAAUUAAACACUUGUCUCUUUUGAAGAUCCAAUCUAGAAUAUAGACACAAAAAGCUGGAUGAACUCAGCGGGACAGGCAGCAUCUCUGGAGAGAUGGAAUGGGUGACGUUUCAGGUGUACUUCUACACUGAACUACAUGUUGAAAUGGUGAUUUGCAUUUAUGAACCAACUCCACGCUUACAUGUGUUAUUCCCCUUAUGCUAAAAGUUGACCAACAAUCUCUUAAAAUGUCAAUGAAUCUGCCAUUCUGAUAAUCAAUUUAACUGCAGUGUCAGUUUCCCAAAACCAUCAGUAUAAUCUGCAGAAAAAACAUUAAAAAUUGCCUGAAAAACAGAUUA